rnacentral:piRNA from 1 species
UGGGUACUCGUUAAUCUCUACAGAGGUA